ensembl:snoRNA
AUCCUUUUGUAAUUUAUAAGCAUCAUGGUUGGGGUUUAAUGCUCAUAUGUGAGCUGAGCCUCCCUCAAACAUUAUUAGGACACCAACACAAUACCAGUCUGACA